UACAGAGGUCUCGAGCGUUAGGCGGAAUCACUGGGCUUAAAGCGUGUGUAGGCGGAUCGUUAAGUACCUUGUGAAAUCCCACGGCUUAACCGUGGAAUUGCUGGGUAUACUGGCGGUCUUGAGCAACCUAAGGGCGAGCGGAACAGACGGUGGAGCGGUGAAAUGCGUAGAUAUCGUCUGGAACGCCAAGUGGUGAAAACAGCUCGCUGGGGGUUUGCUGGACGCUG
rnacentral:rRNA from 1 species